rnacentral:RNase_P_RNA from 1 species
UAAAGCAGCCGGACGGUCGCGCACAGCAGUGUGUGAGGAAAGUCCGUGCAUCUCAGGACAAAUCGCCGGAGAAACUCCGGACGGCGCAAGCCGGUGGAAAGUGCCACAGAAAUGAAUUCUGCCGAUGGAUUUUUAAAUCACAGGCGAUGGUGCAACGGUGAGUUAAGAGCUUCACCGGCGGCGUUGAGAGGCGCCGGCCAGGUAAACCCCGAUUGGAUGCAAGGUUUGAAGGUUAAGGUGUCCGCCGUCUUCAAAAAACCGCUAGAAGCUGUGAGUAAUCACAGUUCCAGACAGAUGACCGUUUAGAAACAGAACACGGCUUACGAGCUGCUUUAUUUU